UACGGAGGGUGCGAGCGUUGUCCGGAAUCAUUGGGCGUAAAGGGCGCGUAGGUGGCCCGGUCAGUUCGUGGUGAAAGCGCGGGGCUCAACCCUGCGUCGGCCAUGAAUACUGCCGCGGCUGGAGCACUGUAGAGGCAGUCGGAAUUCCGGGUGUAGCGGUGGAAUGCGUAGAGAUCCGGAAGAACACCGGUGGCGAAGGCGGCCUGCUGGGCAGUUGCUGACACUGAGGCGCGACAGCGUGGGGAGCAAACAGG
rnacentral:rRNA from 1 species